CCUGCCAGACUCUAAAGCCAUUGCAGCUGCUCUGCCACACCUAUGUCAGUAGGUGGCAGAGAGGAGAAACACUAUAUGUAUACUCAAUAUUCUGACCUAAGAACAUCUGAAUGAUUACUAGCCUAACAUU